rnacentral:rRNA from 1 species
CAGCCGCCACGGUAAAACGUAGGUGACAAGCGUUGUCCGGAAUUAUUGGGCGUAAAGGGCUCGCAGGCGGUUUCUUAAGUCUGAUGUGAAAGCCCCCGGCUCAACCGGGGAGGGUCAUUGGAAACUGGGAAACUUGAGUGCAGAAGAGGAGAGUGGAAUUCCACGUGUAGCGGUGAAAUGCGUAGAGAUGUGGAGGAACACCAGUGGCGAAGGCGACUCUCUGGUCUGUAACUGACGCUGAGGAGCGAAAGCGUGGGGAGCGAACAGGAUUAGAUACCCCUGUAGUCCCUGUCUCUUAUAC